rnacentral:rRNA from 1 species
GCAAGUCGAACGAUGAAGCCUAGCUUGCUAGGUGGAUUAGUGGCGCACGGGUGAGUAAUAUAUAGGUAACGUGCCUCUUAGUCUGGGAUAGCCAUUGGAAACGAUGAUUAAUACUAGAUACUCCUUCUCAUUAUAAUAUGAGUCGGGAAAGUUUUUCGCUAAGAGAUCGGCCUAUUUCCCAUCAGCUUGUUGGUAGUGUAAGAGACUACCAAGGCAAUGACGGGUAGCGGGUUUGAGAGGAUGAUC